rnacentral:rRNA from 1 species
CAGCAGCCGCGGUAAAACGAAGGGUGCAAGCGUUAAUCGGAAUUACUGGGCGUAAAGCGUGCGUAGGCGGUUACUCAAGUCAGAGGUGAAAGCCCGGGGCUCAACCCCGGAACUGCCUUUGAAACUAGGUGACUAGAAUCUUGGAGAGGUCAGUGGAAUUCCGAGUGUAGAGGUGAAAUUCGUAGAUAUUCGGAAGAACACCAGUGGCGAAGGCGACUGACUGGACAAGUAUUGACGCUGAGGUGCGAAAGCGUGGGGAGCAAACAGGAUUAGAUACCCCAGUAGUCCCUGUCUCUUAUAC